rnacentral:siRNA from 1 species
AAAGACUUGCCAACACAAAGCUCC